AUUGAACGCUGGCGGCAGGCCUAACACAUGCAAGUCGAGCGGAUGAAGGGAGCUUGCUCCUGGAUUCAGCGGCGGACGGGUGAGUAAUGCCUAGGAAUCUGCCGGGUAGUGGGGGAUAACGUCCGGAGACGGGCGCUAAUACCGCAUACGUCCUGAGGGAGAAAGUUGGGGAUCGUCGGACCUCACGCUAUCAGGUGAGCCUAGGUCGGAUUAGCUAGUUGGUGGGGUAAAGGCCUACCAAGGCGACGAUCCGUAACUGGUCUGAGAGGCUGAUCAGUCACACUGGAACUGAGACACGGUCCAGACUCCUACGGGAGGCAGCAGUGGGGAAUAUUGGACAAUGGGCGAAAGCCUGAUCCAGCCAUGCCGCGUGUGUGAAGAAGGUCUUCGGAUUGUAAAGCACUUUAAGUUGGGAGGAAGGGCAGUAAGUUAAUACCUUGCUGUUUUGACGUUACCAACAGAAUAAGCACCGGCUAACUUCGUG
rnacentral:rRNA from 1 species